rnacentral:lncRNA from 1 species
UAACAUUAUCACCAACAUGAAAUCAUUUGAACUGUAUAACAUAAUACUUACCACGCCUUUGCAUUUCAAUCAUUAAACAACACAUCUUCCUCAUUUACCCCCUUCAACACAUCUUCCUCCGUUUUCGGCCAAAUUCGGCCACACUUGCAUCGGUCCCUGCGAUAGAACAACCCUAGGGCCCUCGGUGGGUCAAAAAAUCACAAAAAACUGAAACUUACCAGCGGCGGUGCUCUCGGGUGCGGCGACUCCUCCGGUGUGAGUCGCGUUUUGAUGUUUGGCUCUGAUUAACCUGUAGAGAAAAGAACGGUGAUCACAGUGGUAUAAAAUUUGCAUCAAACGAAGGCCGGGAAGGGCCUUAUCGGAGGCAAAAAUCGAGGAGGGGCGCGGCUGCGCCGCUGGGUUUCGGCUGGGUUUUCCAGCCGUUUGGCCGGUGGUUUGGCUCUGG